rnacentral:misc_RNA from 1 species
GGAAGUAAAAGUCGAAACAAGGUUUCCGUAGGUGAACCUGCGGAAGGAUCAUUAUUGUAUAACCGAGGUGCGAGGGCUGUCGCUGACCCGAAAGGUCGUGCACGCCCGAGUGCCCUCACACACAUCCAUCUCACCCCUAUGUGCACCACCGCGUGGGUCCCCCUUUGGCUUGUUCGGAGGGGGGCUUACGUUUUCACACAAACUUUGUAUGCAGUGUAGAAUGUAUUUUUUGUUUUUGCGAUCACGCAAUCAAUACGACUUUCAACAACGGAUCUCUUGGCUCUC